CCUGCACCCCAGCUCUACUACUCAUCCCUUCUCUGCCUCAUCUGUGCCUUCUCCCUCAAAACCAGGAGGCCCUCAGGGCUGCGGUCAUGAGCGAGAUGUGUGCAGGGUAUAAGAUGGGGCUUCCUCCUUGCCUUUGCCACCUGGAGCUACUCAACCCACUGCCUCAGUUUUCUCAUCUGUACACUGGGCUGCGGUGGGGGCCGGGUGGGCUCACUCACGGACAGCUGUGGAAUGCGGUGGACGUGGAGCUAGCCCCCACCACAUGGGCCAACCUAAAGGUCACUGACCUCUUCCCUUCCACUAAAACACGCUUGAGUCCUUUCCUCUUUUCAGAAAAGCGCCUCCCGACCUCUUUCCCCACCUUUCCGCUCUCUUUCCUCUUGAGCUUCUUUAAAGAAUACGUCACAUUCGAGGUCUCCACCGCCUCCCUGAACAUUUAACUGAAGUGAGCGUCCCACAGCCACAGAGACGGAAUCCCACCGACGCGGCUGCAUCUGAAGGAGCUGACCACUCCUUCUGGGAGGGCAGCCCUACUUUCUUUGCCCCCGUGACCCCACCAGCCCUCUUGGCCCCCCGCUAACCGAGGGUUCCUUCUCCAGCUCCCUCAGAGGGUGCGGCCCACUGCUCCGCCUUGCAACCUGUCUUGAGGCCCUACAUGCACUUUGAAAGUUUUUGCCACCAUCGGCAUCUAAAGGGUCCCUGGAGCACACCCCCACCCCGACCCUGGCCAGGCAAUGCCCUGGGACCACUGUGUGUCUGUCUUGAGACACAUCGACCUCAAGAUGUGCCCAAGACCAAGACCUGGGCGUGGCCUGCAGGAGCCCCUCCUCCUCACCAGCUACACACAGAUGGCAAAUGGCGGCUGCUGUACGAAGUGCUUCGUAAACCCCGUCGUCUGUCAUCAUCCCUCAAACACUGGCCUAGUUCAGCCCUCAUCUCAUCUGAACUGUCAUGGAUCUCGUUGCUGGCAGAGCUGGGCUCACACACCAGGAGGCUUCCCUGGCUCCCAUCUCUGACCAGGUCAAACCCCAGCUGUGGACACACACCAGGCCCACUCUGCGGUCUCCCCCGCCUUCCACCGAUGCCCAGUGUCUCGGGG
rnacentral:lncRNA from 1 species